UACAAGCGAAUAGACCAU
rnacentral:siRNA from 1 species